rnacentral:rRNA from 1 species
CUGCGACGCAGCUAACGCAUUAAGUGCCCCGCCUGGGGAGUACGAUCGCAAGAUUAAAACUCAAAGGAAUUGACGGGGCCCCGCACAAGCAGCGGAGCAUGCGGCUUAAUUCGACGCAACGCGAAGAACCUUACCAAGGCUUGACAUAUACAGGAAUAUGGCAGAGAUGUCAUAGCCGCAAGGUCUGUAUACAGGUGGUGCAUGGUUGUCGUCAGCUCGUGUCGUGAGAUGUUGGGUUAAGUCCCGCAACGAGCGCAACCCUCGUUCUGUGUUGCCAGCAUUUAGUUGGGGACUCACAGGAGACUGCCGGGGUUAACUCGGAGGAAGGUGGGGAUGACGUCAAAUCAUCAUGCCCCUUAUGUCUUGGGCUGCACGCAUGCUGCAAUGGCUGGUACAAACGGCUGCGAUACCGCAAGGUGGAGCGGAUCCGAUAAAGCCAGUCUCAGUUCGGAUUGGGGUCUGCAACUCGACCCCAUGAAGUCGGAGUUGCUAGUAAUCGUAGAUCAGCAACGCUACGGUGAAUACGUUCCCGGGGCUUGUACACACCGCCCGUCACGUCACGAAAGUCGGUAACACCCGAAGUCAGUGGCCCAACC